rnacentral:tRNA from 1 species
ACCCCUCGUGGCCUAACGGAUAAGGCAUCGGUCUCUUAAAUCGGGGAUUGCGGGUUCGAAUCCCGCUGAGGGUA